UAUCAGCUCCAUACAUCUGAUUUGGUUAUUUGGCAGUGGAAAGCUUUGCCUAGAAUACACCCAGUUCCUUCGCCUCUAUACGUCUCAACACGACAUCAGUGACAAUCCAUUGUAUUUCUUUGGGCACAAAGCGACUUUACAGUCUUAUCUAGCGAGUAAUUUAUGUUAAUUGUUGAUCAUGUACUGAAUAUUAUACGCCUGCCAUAGCAGUAAAUUAUGGCUAUAUUCAGGGAUAAAGGUACACAAUAGGCUUAUGGUGUGAUGUAUUUAAUAAGC